rnacentral:rRNA from 1 species
GACGUAGGAUGCGAGCGUUGUCCGGAUUUAUUGGGCGUAAAGAGUUCGUAGGUGGUUUGUUAAGUCUGAUGUUAAAGACUGGGGCUCAACCUCGGAAGUGCAUUGGAUACUGGCAGACUUGAGUGCAGUAGAGGCAAGCGGAAUUCCAGGUGUAGCGGUGAAAUGCGUAGAUAUCUGGAAGAACACCGGUGGCGCAAGCGGCUUGCUGGGCUGUAACUGACACUGAGGAACGAAAGCUAGGGUAGCGAAUGGG